CAGAAGAUGGAAAGGAUCAAAUUCUUUCCGUUAAUUUAAAGUGACAAAUUGUCAAUGAGAAUCCAAAUGAGUGCAUAAUGCACUAUUUAUUCUUGUUUAACAUUCAAAUAACAAGGAUAAAUAAUGCAUUAUUUGUGACACGUAUCUUGUGUCACACGGAUUGAGCCUUAAGAUUAAAACGCUUAAAACGGAAAAGCCGUUGUCCAGAUAACAACAUAUCUGUGUCGUUGAUAGCAUAUAAAAAGUUAGAAAAAUGCAACCACAUGAAUUUACAUGCUAAACAUAAUGUGGAUUGUUAUAUGUUACAAACAGUGUAAAUUAUACAGUUAAAACAAUUACAAUUACAGCAAUUAUCGAGUUGCAAUAUAUAAUACAUUUAAAUUACAGUGUAAUUGAAGCAAUUGUAAUUGUGAUUAAUUACUUUUAUUAAUUAUUUCAUUAUUAUAAAUUUGAUGAUGCAUAUUAAUGAGUGUAUAGCUGCAGAUUUGUUUUGACCAGACAGUUGGGAUGUAGACACAUAACGAGAACGGUGUGAAGAAAUGAGUGACAGAAUCAUCAGCUUCUUUGCAUACCAUUCCAAAGCUGCAUGUUGUCGUUUACCAUACAAAUACAAUGACGAACUACUUUGUAAGGAGGAAUUAAUGCAGCUUAGUAGAAAUUAUAUACUACUUAAUGUGUAGUCCAAGUAGCAAAAUUUGCAGAGACAAAUUUUGAGCAAAGCAUAUGCUACCAAUUUUUGAUUGCAGAAAGGUUAAACCCGCCGGCUCCGUUUUUGAGUUAUUAACAAAAGGCUGCGAAUCAAAACGUCAAAUACAUUCAUAGUUUAUUUGCGUGCGUACAAUGAUGCUUUGAUUUUUCCAUUGUAAUAUAAUAAAGUAUUUUGUGAUUAUGACGUAAACGUCGGGAGUGUUGUACAAAGUACCGCGUGAUCGUCUAUUCUUUACCGUAAUAUGUAAUUAAUCGGUAUUUUCACGAGUGAGUGUCAUGUCAUGGAGGAACAAGAGAAGAGGAGAAAAAGAGUUCAGGACGACAUUAGGCGUCGGCGGAGCAAUCCUAGAGGAGAGUUGUCUACUAUUUAUAAUUUCAUCUAUUACAUUCGGAAUAGUUUGUAAUUAUCUUAUACACAAAACUGUCCGUUAGAAGACUAAUUAUUUCGAACGUCACUAUAAUUUGAAUCGCAUAUUUAUAUUUUGCAAAUCAACGUAGCCGCGACAUAGUUAUAACUCCGCUGCUACGCAUCGUGUCGGUGAGUAAAACAAAUUCUUAAGUGUCAUAUACAUACACACAAACACGCGCGCGCGUGUGUGUGUGUAUGUAUAUGACACUUAAGAUGGUCUUAAAUAUAAGAAUUGAAUAUGAAUACCGGCCUACUACCACUACAGAAUUUUAGCACAUACUUGAACCAUUUUUAUCGGCAGUGUCGCCAAAUGGAUGUGAUUUUAGUUCUGGUCAAAAUGGAUGUGAGUUGUUAGUGCGCCAAGAAUUUGAGUGUUAUAGAAAAAAUGCCGACUUGACCGCUCUUAGUUUUCUCUUUGAUUUAAAUAAUGAAAAUGUUUGGUUUAUUAAGUAUGAUUUCAUUUUUAGGUCACAAAGAGGAAUUAAUUUUUCCGGAAAAAUAAGCAGUUAAGGCUCCUGAGUACUCGCCACGGCCAUAUUGAAGUCGUGACGUCAGAAGCGAGAAAUUGCGUGAAAUGACACGUAAUUUUGUCCGACAUGCCAUUUGUAAAUAAAGCCA